rnacentral:rRNA from 1 species
CAAGUCAUCAUGGCCCUUAUGAGCUGGGCUACACACGUGCUACAAUGGGCAGUACAGAGGGCUGCAAACCCGCGAGGGGGAGCUAAUCUCACAAAACUGUUCGUAGUCCGGAUCGCAGUCUGCAACUCGACUGCGUGAAGUCGGAAUCGCUAGUAAUCGCAGAUCAGAAUGCUGCGGUGAAUACGUUCCCGGGCCUUGUACACACCGCCCGUCACACCAUGGGAGUGGGUUGCAAAAGAAGUAGGUAGCUUAACCUUCGGGAGGGCGCUUACCACUUUGUGAUUCAUGACUGGGGUGAAGUCGUAACAAG